rnacentral:rRNA from 1 species
CCUACGGGUGGCAGCAGUGGGGAAUAUUGGGCAAUGGGCGCAAGCCUGACCCAGCAACGCCGCGUGAAGGAAGAAGGCUUUCGGGUUGUAAACUUCUUUUGUCAGGGACGAAACAAGUGACGGUACCUGACCCCUAAGCCACGGCUAACUACGUGCCAGCAGCCGCGGUACUACGUAGGUGGCAAGCGUUAUCCGGAUUUACUGGGUGUAAAGGGCGUGUAGGCGGGACUGCAAGUCAGAUGUGAAAACCACGGGCUCAACCUGUGGCCUGCAUUUGAAACUGUAGUUCUUGAGUACUGGAGAGGCAGACGGAAUUCCUAGUGUAGCGGUGAAAUGCGUAGAUAUUAGGAGGAACACCAGUGGCGAAGGCGGUCUGCUGGACAGCAACUGACGCUGAGGCGCGAAAGCGUGGGGAGCAAACAGGAUUAGAUACCCGAGUAGUC